CCCUUUCUCUCUAUUAUUGCGCCGCCCAACACCUCUUCUCUCUCUUUUUCUCUCUUUCUCUACUUCCCUGCCCCAAUCUCUGUAAUUCACUAUUUUUCUUUCUUUUGAUUUCUUUUUCUUUUUCUUUAAUUAUUAGAUCUGAAUUUUUAAAAAUGUGAAUUCACUGUUUUUCUUUCUUUUUAAUUAUUAGAUCUGAAUUUUUAAAAAUAUACAGAGGAAUAAUAGAUCUGCAACGGUGGUGGCCAUUUCAGACGCGCUUGUGCGGCGGCGGCGAUGUCCCUGACUCGUCUUGGUUGGGGGAGUGGCGAUUGCAUCACGGAAGGGUUGGCGAGUAUGUGCGUAGAUAUUUUCGUUGUUUUUUUAGCAGUGGCUAGGGCUGGUUAUGAUGAAUUCAUGGUAUGUGUGCGUUGAAUUGCAUAUACAACGGGGAUGGUGGCUGGUCUACGUUUGCUAGCGGUGCUAGGGUUCCAAAUGGCAAAAGUAGGGUUUUGAAAAUGACCCUAGUUGUCUACGAGACUACGAGUGUCUAACAACGUUGUGAAUUGAAGAAUCAACUAUUAUUGAAAACAUUUUUUUGACUAAUUGCAUAUGAAUCUGAUUAUCUUUUAAGAUAUUUUGCUUGGUAUGAUCGCUAGAGUUUGGCGGCAGCUGCGUUUGGCUGCUAGGGUUGGCGAC
rnacentral:lncRNA from 1 species